GAACGGGGGCCAGCGGCGGAAGGGGAUGGUUUACCAGACCCGGAAGGCGCGGGCCUUAGUGGCGGACGGGUGAGUAACGCGUGGGGAACCUGCCCCGUACCGGGGGAUAACACCUGGAAACAGGUGCUAAUACCGCAUAACAGAAGGGGACGCAUGUUCCUUUCUUGAAAACUCCGGUGGUACGGGAUGGACCCGCGUCUGAUUAGCUGGUUGGCGGGGUAACGGCCCACCAAGGCGACGAUCAGUAGCCGGCCUGAGAGGGCGGACGGCCACAUUGGGACUGAGACACGGCCCAAACUCCUACGGGAGGCAGCAGUGGGGAAUAUUGCACAAUGGGGGAAACCCUGAUGCAGCGACGCCGCGUGAGUGAAGAAGCGUUUCGGCGCGUAAAGCUCUGUCAGCGGGGAAGAAACACGGUUCGCGAGAGCCGCGGACGGUACCCGACCAAGAAGCCCCGGCUAACUACGUGCCAGCAGCCGCGGUAAUACG
rnacentral:rRNA from 1 species